rnacentral:lncRNA from 1 species
GCGCUAGCUCACAACGAGUUCAGGCUAAAUUAGGUAGGGCUUUAGGGCUGUGGCGGGCUAGCCCAACUGAUAACAUUAUAAUUUUUUUUAAUUUUCAGCAUUUAAAAUUUUAAAUACAAUACAUAUAGAAAAAUAGAAAACCAAUAAAACAUGAUUCUUAUUACUUCCUAAGAGCAAGGCCAUACAUAACUGCUAGUCUGCUACCGUGCUACCAAGUACCAACAACACCUACAAAAAGUU